GACGAACGCUGGCGGCGUGCUUAACACAUGCAAGUCGAACGGAAAGGCCCUGCUUUUGUGGGGUGCUCGAGUGGCGAACGGGUGAGUAACACGUGAGUAACCUGCCCUUGACUUUGGGAUAACUUCAGGAAACUGGGGCUAAUACCGGAUAGGAGCUCCUGCUGCAUGGUGGGGGUUGGAAAGUUUCGGCGGGUGGGGAUGGACUCGCGGCUUAUCAGCUUGUUGGUGGGGUAGUGGCUUACCAAGGCUUUGACGGGUAGCCGGCCUGAGAGGGUGACCGGCCACAUUGGGACUGAGAUACGGCCCAGACUCCUACGGGAGGCAGAAGUGGGGAAUAUUGCACAAUGGGCGGAAGCCUGAUGCAGCAACGCCGCGUGCGGGAUGACGGCCUUCGGGUUGUAAACCGCUUUCGCCUGUGACGAAGCGUGAGUGACGGUAAUGGGUAAAGAAGCACCGGCUAACUACGUG
rnacentral:rRNA from 1 species